CUGGACGUCGAGCGGCGGACGGGUGAGUAACGGCUGGGAACCUGCCCUGACGAGGGGGAUAACCGUUGGAAACGACGGCUAAUACCGCAUAAUGUCUACGGACCAAAGGUGGCCUCUACAUGUAAGCUAUCGCGUUGGGAUGGGCCCAGUUAGGAUUAGCUAGUUGGUAAGGUAAUGGCUUACCAAGGCGACGAUCCUUAGCUGGUUUGAGAGGAUGAUCAGCCACACUGGGACUGAGACACGGCCCAGACUCCUACGGGAGGCAGCAGUGGGGAAUAUUGCACAAUGGGGGAGACCCUGAUGCAGCCAUGCCGCGUGUGUGAAGAAGGCCUUCGGGUUGUAAAGCACUUUCAGCAGUGAGGAAGGUGGUGUACUUAAUAGGUGCAUGGCUUGACGUUAGCUGCAGAAGAAGCACCGGCUAACUCCGUGCCAGCAGCCGCGGUAAUACGGAGGGUGCGAGCGUUAAUCGGAAUUACUGGGCGUAAAGCGCAUGCAGGCGGUUUGUUAAGUCAGAUGUGAAAGCCCGGGGCUCAACCUCGGAACCGCAUUUGAAACUGGCAGGCUAGAGUCUUGUAGAGGGGGGUAGAAUUUCAGGUGUAGCGGUGAAAUGCGUAGAGAUCUGAAGGAAUACCAGUGGCGAAGGCGGCCCCCUGGACAAAGACUGACGCUCAGAUGCGAAAGCGUGGGUAGCAAACAGGAUUAGAUACCCUGGUAGUCCACGCCGUAAACGCUGUCUACUUGGAGGUUGAGGUUUAAGACUUUGGCUUUCGGCGCUAACGCAUUAAGUAGACCGCCUGGGGAGUACGGCCGCAAGGUUAAAACUCAAAUGAAUUGACGGGGGCCCGCACAAGCGGUGGAGCAUGUGGUUUAAUUCGAUGCAACGCGAAGAACCUUACCUACUCUUGACAUCCAG
rnacentral:rRNA from 1 species